UCUAUAUACAUCAAAUAUACAGAAUCAAUAUACAAUUACACAACUAUUGAAAUGGCUUAGAAGCCAUGUAAUCUUGUAAGUCAACACCCCCCUUCAAGUUGGAGGGGGACACCACCUUCAACUUGGACAGCAGCGGAUGUAGGGCAGUGCCAGUAAGAGGCUUCGUGAGUAAAUCAGCCAGUUGCCGAGAAGUAGAUACAUGAAACAACUUAAUGAAGCCUGAGUUGACCUGAUCACGCACAAAGUGACAGUCCACCUCAAUAUGUUUUGUGCGUUCAUGAAAAACAGGAUUAGUAGCAAUAUGGAUGGCAGAUUGACUAUCACAGUAUACAGAAAUUGGAAGAGAAACAGGAACACCAAGAUCAGAUAACAAGCGAGAUAACCAGGAAAGUUCAGCCACAAGUUUGCUCAAAGCCCGAUACUCUGCCUCAGCAGAUGAUAAAGAUACAACAGGUUGUUUCUUAGAUUUCCAGCUGACCAAAGAACCACCCAGAAGAACAGAAAACCCAGUAACAGACCUUCGGGUAUCAGGGCAAGCAGCCCAAUCACUGUCAGAAUAACCACUCAAGGAAAAGUCAUCAUUGGCAGAGUAGAAGAGGCCCAUAGAGGAAGUGCCUUUAAGAUAUCGCAACACAUGCGGCAUUCAUAUGAGGUACUCGAGGACACUUGAGAAACUGACUCAAAUGUUGUACAGCAAAGCAGAUAUCAGGUCUGGUAUGUGUCAAAAAUAAAAGCUUACCCACCAAACUCCUAAAUUGAUCAGGAGAGGGUAAAAGGUCACCACAAUCAGCAAGAAGUUUGACAUUUGUAUCCAAAGGACAGACAACAGGAGAUACACUAGAACAGUCAAACUGAUGCAACAGAUCAGAAAUAUAUUUCUGCUGAUUGAGGACCAUUCCACCAGGAACAUGAGACAUCUGAAUCCCCAAGAAAUAAUGCAAGGACCCAAGGUCCUUGAUUUUAAACUGAUCAUCAAGAAACAGUUGCANNN
rnacentral:lncRNA from 1 species